CAGAGACAUGCUUUAUUUGUAUCCUAAUCUUUGUGUGGUAAGUACAACAUCCUCAUUGAAAUCAAGGAUCAAACUUUAGUAGUUAAGAGAUGAUUAUUCAAGUGACAUGCAAUAACUUUUCUUUUUAUGUUUUUUGCAAGUGAGGCAGUUUUUGCAAGUUUGUAUUUGCAUCUGAUGACAAACGUAGAUUUUGGAUCUCAUACGGAAUCAGUCGAACAAUGUAUUUACGUUGAUCCCUAGAAGUAACAAAUAGUUGGAUUGGAAGAAGACAAGUAGAGAAAUAUGCUAUGACCGGAAAAUUGAAGAAAGUUUGUUUAUACACUCAAAUGAAAUUGUUGUCAGAUAAUCCGCCACAAAAUGUUCUUUAAUGUUGAAAUUAGGUGUAUGGUUUUUGUAUAGUUUGGAUUUUAUUGUGUUAUUUGAAUAAGUUGGUAUUUUAAUUUGA